AACAUCAGAGGGAGUCGGGCUGUAGCGCAGCGGGUUAAGCGCAGGUGGCGCAAAGCACAAGGACCGGCCUAAGGAUCCCAGUUCGAACCCUGGCUCCCCACCUGCAGGGGAGUCGCUUCACAGGCGGUGAAGCAGGUCUGCAGGUGUGUCUAUCUUUCUCUCCCCUUCUCUGUCUUCCCCUCCUCUCUCCAUUUCUCUCUGUCCUAUCUAACAACGAAUGGCGUCAACAAGGGCAAUAAUAAUAACCACAACAAAGCUACAACAAGGGCAACAAAA